CCGGUUCUGAAUUUGGUAGGAUAGACUUACGCAGAAGGAACCCGGUGAGAUCCCGGGGCUGCCCCGCAACGGUAAUGCCGCAAGGCCAGCCCGGUCAACUGCGAACCGCCGCUCACAGAGGAGCGGCGGGAUUCCGAGGGGAGAGACAAGCUCGACCUUUCGGCCGGGCUUUUUUUAU
rnacentral:ncRNA from 2 species